rnacentral:rRNA from 1 species
AACGAACGCUGGCGGCAGGCCUAACACAUGCAAGUCGAACGCUCUUUUCGGAGAGAGUGGCGCACGGGUGAGUAACGCGUGGGAAUCUGCCCUUUGGUUCGGAAUAACCCUGGGAAACUAGGGCUAACACCGGAUAAGCCCCUGGUCGCGAGAUUGGGGGGAAAGUUUACGCCGAAGGAGGAGCCCGCGUCCGAUUAGCUAGUUGGUGAGGUAAGAGCUCACCAAGGCACCGAUCGGUAGCUGGUCUGAGAGGACGAUCAGCCACACUGGGACUGAGACACGGCCCAGACUCCUACGGGAGGCAGCAGUGGGGAAUAUUGGACAAUGGGCGCAAGCCUGAUCCAGCCAUGCCGCGUGAGUGAUGAAGGCCUUCGGGUUGUAAAGCUCUUUUGGC